GACGAACGCUGGCGGCGUGCUUAACACAUGCAAGUCGAACGGAAAGGCCCUGCUUGCAGGGUACUCGAGUGGCGAACGGGUGAGUAACACGUGGGUGAUCUGCCCUGCACUUCGGGAUAAGCCUGGGAAACUGGGUCUAAUACCGGAUAGGAGCCAUUUUUAGUGUGAUGGUUGGAAAGUUUUUUCGGUGUAGGAUGAGCUCGCGGCCUAUCAGCUUGUUGGUGGGGUAAUGGCCUUCCAAGGCGGCGACGGGUAGCCGGCCUGAGAGGGUGGACGGCCACAUUGGGACUGAGAUACGGCGCAGACUCCUACGGGAGGCAGCAGUGGGGAAUAUUGCACAAUGGGCGCAAGCCUGAUGCAGCGACGCCGCGUGGGUGAUGACGUCCUUCGGGUUGUAAACUCCUUUCGCUAGGGACGAAGCUUUUUGUGACGGUACCUAGAUAAGAAGCACCGGCUAACUACGUG
rnacentral:rRNA from 1 species